CACUAAACUUAAUCACACCAUACUUCCUCCCUCCUUCCUCCUUAAUCACAACCCUCUCAUCCGUUGGACGUGGUGCCUCCUCCGCCUUCUUAUACAUCGACGGCAACAAAAACUGCAUCGUCACCAACUUCUUCCUUCCUUCUCCACCACCUUCCUUAGUUACAACCGGAGAAGUCAUCUCAAUCUUCUCACUCUCCUUAGUAAUCACCGGAGCAGUCAUCGCAAUCU